GAUGAACGCUGGCGGCGUGCCUAAUACAUGCAAGUCGAGCGAACGGACGAGAAGCUUGCUUCUCUGAUGUUAGCGGCGGACGGGUGAGUAACACGUGGAUAACCUACCUAUAAGACUGGGAUAACUUCGGGAAACCGGAGCUAAUACCGGAUAAUAUUUUGAACCGCAUGGUUCAAAAGUGAAAGACGGUCUUGCUGUCACUUAUAGAUGGAUCCGCGCUGCAUUAGCUAGUUGGUAAGGUAACGGCUUACCAAGGCAACGAUGCAUAGCCGACCUGAGAGGGUGAUCGGCCACACUGGAACUGAGACACGGUCCAGACUCCUACGGGAGGCAGCAGUAGGGAAUCUUCCGCAAUGGGCGAAAGCCUGACGGAGCAACGCCGCGUGAGUGAUGAAGGUCUUCGGAUCGUAAAACUCUGUUAUUAGGGAAGAACAUAUGUGUAAGUAACUGUGCACAUCUGGACGGUACCUAACCAGAAAGCCACGGCUAACUACGU
rnacentral:rRNA from 1 species